AUCCCGUGAUGAGGGUACUUCCGUAAUAAUUCUUUGUACCUUUCCCAUACCUCAUACAAUCACACAUCAUCCAUUUGUUGGAAAGCAGUGCUCUCAUUCCUCAACUU
rnacentral:snoRNA from 1 species